ensembl:rRNA 5S_rRNA 5S ribosomal RNA
GCUUAUGGCCAUACCAGCCUGGAUAUGCCCGAUCUUGUCUGAUCUCGUAAGCUAAGCAGGUUUGGGCCUGGUUAGUGCCUGGAUGGGAGACCGCCUGGGAAUACCAUGUACUCUAAGCU